rnacentral:miRNA from 1 species
AACGGGUAUUCUUAGGUUAAU